UCGUAACAAGGUUUCCGUAGGUGAACCUGCGGAAGGAUCAUUACCGAGUGCGGGUUCUAACGAGCCCAACCUCCCACCCGUGUUUACUGUUACCGCGUUGCUUCGGCGGGCCCACUGGGGCCUGGCCCCGGUCGCCGGGGGGCUUCUGCCCCCGGGUCCGCGCCCGCCGAAGCGCCCUGGAACCCUGUCUGAAUAGUGAGUCUGAGUGGAUAUUGAAUCAUUAAAACUUUCAACAACGGAUCUCUUGGUUCCGGCAUCGAUGAAGAACGCAGCGAAAUGCGAUAAGUAAUGUGAAUUGCAGAAUUCCGUGAAUCAUCGAAUCUUUGAACGCACAUUGCGCCCCCUGGCAUUCCGGGGGGCAUGCCUGUCCGAGCGUCAUUUCUGCCCUCCAGCGCGGCUGGGUGUUGGGUGCUGUCCCCCCGGGGACACGCCCCAAAAGCAGUGGCGGCGCCGCGUCGGGUCCUCGAGCGUAUGGGGCUCUGUCACCCGCUCGGGAGGGACUCGGUCGGCGCUGGUCUUCCUCUAGGCGACCCUUCGGGGCUCGUCUCCUCCGGUUGACCUCGGAUCAGGUAGGGCUACCCGCUGAACUUAAGCAUAUCAAUAA
rnacentral:misc_RNA from 1 species